rnacentral:rRNA from 1 species
UACGUAGGGGGCAAGCGUUGUCCGGAUUUAUUGGGCGUAAAGAGCGUGUAGGCGGUUUGGUAGGUCCGCUGUGAAAACUCGAGCUCAACCUCGAGACGCCGGUGGAAACCAUCAGACUAGAGUCCGGAAGAGGAGAGUGGAAUUCCGUGGUGUAGCGGUGAAAUGCGCAGAUAUCAGGAAGAACACCCGUGGCGAAGGCGGCUCUCUGGGCCACUACUGACGCUGAGAAGCGAAAGCAUGGGGAGCGAACAGG